GACGAACGCUGGCGGCGUGCCUAAUACAUGCAAGUAGAACGCUGAAGAGAGGAGCUUGCUCUUCUUGGAUGAGUUGCGAACGGGUGAGUAACGCGUAGGUAACCUGCCUUGUAGCGGGGGAUAACUAUUGGAAACGAUAGCUAAUACCGCAUAACAAUGGAUGACACAUGUCAUUUAUUUGAAAGGGGCAAUUGCUCCACUACAAGAUGGACCUGCGUUGUAUUAGCUAGUAGGUGAGGUAAUGGCUCACCUAGGCGACGAUACAUAGCCGACCUGAGAGGGUGAUCGGCCACACUGGGACUGAGACACGGCCCAGACUCCUACGGGAGGCAGCAGUAGGGAAUCUUCGGCAAUGGGGGCAACCCUGACCGAGCAACGCCGCGUGAGUGAAGAAGGUUUUCGGAUCGUAAAGCUCUGUUGUAAGUCAAGAACGGGUGUGAGAGUGGAAAGUUCACACUGUGACGGUAGCUUACCAGAAAGGGACGGCUAACUACGUGCCAGCAGCCGCGGUAAUACGUAGGUCCCGAGCGUUGUCCGGAUUUAUUGGGCGUAAAGCGAGCGCAGGCGGUUUGAUAAGUCUGAAGUUAAGGCUGUGGCUCAACCAUAGUUCGCUUUGGAAACUGUCAAACUUGAGUGCAGAAGGGGAGAGUGGAAUUCCAUGUGUAGCGGUGAAGUGCGUAGAUAUAUGGAGGAACACCGGUGGCGAAAGCGGCUCUCUGGUCUGUAACUGACGCUGAGGCUCGAAAGCGUGGGGAGCGAACAGGAUUAGAUACCCUGGUAGUCCACGCCGUAAACGAUGAGUGCUAGGUGUUGGAUCCUUUCCGGGAUUCAGUGCCGCAGCUAACGCAUUAAGCACUCCGCCUGGGGAGUACGACCGCAAGGUUGAAACUCAAAGGAAUUGACGGGGGCCCGCACAAGCGGUGGAGCAUGUGGUUUAAUUCGAAGCAACGCGAAGAACCUUACCAGGUCUUGACAUCCCGAUGCUAUUUCUAGAGAUAGAAAGUUACUUCGGUACAUCGGUGACAGGUGGUGCAUGGUUGUCGUCAGCUCGUGUCGUGAGAUGUUGGGUUAAGUCCCGCAACGAGCGCAACCCCUAUUGUUAGUUGCCAUCAUUCAGUUGGGCACUCUAGCGAGACUGCCGGUAAUAAACCGGAGGAAGGUGGGGAUGACGUCAAAUCAUCAUGCCCCUUAUGACCUGGGCUACACACGUGCUACAAUGGUUGGUACAACGAGUUGCGAGUCGGUGACGGCGAGCUAAUCUCUUAAAGCCAAUCUCAGUUCGGACUGUAGGCUGCAACUCGCCUACAUGAAGUCGGAAUCGCUAGUAAUCGCGGAUCAGCACGCCGCGGUGAAUACGUUCCCGGGCCU
rnacentral:rRNA from 1 species